GUGGGGAAUAUUGGACAAUGGGCGAAAGCCUGAUCCAGCCAUGCCGCGUGUGUGAAGAAGGUCUUCGGAUUGUAAAGCACUUUAAGUUGGGAGGAAGGGUAGUAACCUAAUACGUUGCUACUUUGACGUUACCGACAGAAUAAGCACCGGCUAACUUCGUGCCAGCAGCCGCGGUAAUACGAAGGGUGCAAGCGUUAAUCGGAAUUACUGGGCGUAAAGCGCGCGUAGGUGGUUCAGCAAGUUGAAGGUGAAAUCCCCGGGCUCAACCUGGGAACUGCCUCCAAAACUACUGAGCUAGAGUACGGUAGAGGGUAGUGGAAUUUCCUGUGUAGCGGUGAAAUGCGUAGAUAUAGGAAGGAACACCAGUGGCGAAGGCGACUACCUGGACUGAUACUGACACUGAGGUGCGAAAGCGUGGGGAGCAAACAGGAUUAGAAACCCUGGUAGUCC
rnacentral:rRNA from 1 species